rnacentral:rRNA from 1 species
AAAUAACGAUACGGGACUCUUUUGAGGCCCCGUAAUCGGAAUGAGUACACUUUAAAUCCUUUAACAAGGAUCCAUUGGAGGGCAAGUCUGGUGCCAGCAGCCGCGGUAAUUCCAGCUCCAUAGCGUAUAUUAAAGUUGUUGCGGUUAAAAAGCUCGUAGUUGGUUCUGCGUGCUACGCUGCCGGUUCGCCGCCUGCCGGUGUAACUGGCAUGUCGUGGCAUGUCCUGUCGGUGGCGAAUGGAAGCCUUGUCUAGGUGACGGCCUGAGUCACAAGCUUGGUGCCGUAGGCCGGAGGUCAAACCCAUUCGCCUACUCUAUCCUACCUAGGUGCUCUUAAACGAGUGUCGAGGUAGGCCGACACGUUUACUUUGAACAAAUUAGAGUGCUCAAAGCAGGCUGAAAUCUCUGCCUGAAUAGUGGUGCAUGGAAUAAUAAAACAGGACCUUGGUUCUAUUUUGUUGGUUCUUAGGAACACAAGGUAAUGAUCAAUACGGACAGGCGGGGGCAUUCGUAUUGCGACGUUAGAGGUGAAAUUCUUGGAUCGUCGCAAGACGCACAAGAGCGAAAGCAUUUGCCAAGUAUGUCUUGAUUGAUCAAGAACGAAAGUUAGAGGUUCGAAGGCGAUCAGAUACCGCCCUAGUUCUAACCAUAAACGAUGCCAGCCAGCGAUCCGCCGAUGUUCCUCCGAUGACUCGGCGGGGAGCUUCUUCCCGGGAAACCAAAGCUUUUGGGUUCCGGGGGAAGUAUGGUUGCAAAGCUGAAACUUAAAGGAAUUGACGGAAGGCACCACCAGAGUGGAGCCUGCGGCUUAAUUUGACUCAACACGGGAAACUCACCAG